AACCAUAGAAACCUGCGGAGUACCUGCGGAGGGAUCAUUAUAGAGUGGUAAACCUCCCGUAAAAAGGGAGGGACCUCCCGUCCUUUGUAGGCUCCUUUUUAAGGGGCUUUUUUGACUUUCUGCUUCGGUGGGGUUAUCCUACCGGAACACCCUCAAAACUCUGAUCAAAAAAUUGUUCUGUCCGAGGGCUUUUUUAUACUAAAAAAAAAACUUUCAACAACGGAUCUCAGAUCGGAAGAG
rnacentral:misc_RNA from 1 species